GACGAACCGUGCGAACGUUAAUCGGAUUCAUUGGGCUUAAAGGGCGCGUAGGCGGCGGCGUAAGUUCGUGGUGAAAUCCCAUCGGCUCAACCGUGGAAUUGCUUCGAAUAUUGCGUCGCUCGAGGGAGAUAGGGGACCGCAGAACUGCCGGUGGAGCGGUGAAAUGUGUUGAUAUCGGCGGGAAUGCCAGUGCCGAAAGGGGCGGUCUGGACCUCUUCUGACGCUGAGGCGCGAAAGCUAGGGGAGCGAACGGG
rnacentral:rRNA from 1 species